UGCCGGUGCCGGUUGGGCGGAGCGCUCCCCGCCCGCAGCGCUGCCGGCGGCGCGGUUCCCUGUGCGCACAGCGGCGGCGGGGCGAUGGGCUCGGCGCAGUCCGUGCCCCCCGAGAUGCGGGCGCUGGCGGAGCGCACCGGCUUCACCUCGGAGCAGAUCGAGCAGCUCCAUCGGCGCUUCAAGCAGCUGAGCCACAACAGGAAGACCAUCCGCAAAGAGGACUUCGACACCAUCCCCGACCUCGAGUUCAACCCCAUCAGGGCCCGAAUCGUGCACGCCUUCUUCGACAAGCGGAACCUGCGGAAGGCGCCGGCCGGGCUGGCAGAGGAGAUCAACUUCGAGGACUUCCUGACCAUCAUGUCCUACUUCAGACCCAUCGAGAUGGACAUGGACGAGGAGCGGCUGGAGAGCUUCCGCAAGGAGAAGCUCAAAUUCCUCUUCCACAUGUAUGACGCCGACUACGACGGGAUCAUCACGCUGCAGGAGUACAAAAACGUUCUGGAUGAGCUGAUGUCUGGGAAUCCCCACCUGGAGAAGGAGUCGCUGCGUGCCAUCGCGGAGGGGGCCAUGCUGGAGGCGGCCAGCGCGUGCAUGGCCCGCACGGGCCCGGAUGAGGUGUACGAAGGCAUCACCUUCGAGGAUUUCCUGAAGGUGUGGAAGGGGAUCGACAUCGAGACCAAAAUGCACGUCCGCUUCCUCACCAUGGAGGCCAUCGCUCACUGCUACUGACCAGGAGCAGGACGGAGGCUUCCCAGCACCACAAGGCCUCGUUCCGCUCUCUAGAACCAUAAGAGGACAUUUUCUUGGAGCAUCAGCACUUCCCGCUCAGAGCUACUGGCAGCGGGCUGCACUGCAGCCAGCCAGCCUUACAGAGGAUGCACGCAGUCACGGCUGCAUGUGCUGCACCGAUGAGAACCCACCAAAGUGGGACAGCAGCCCUUUGCAGAAACAAAAAUGCAGCUCCAUCCCAGCGCUCUCUGGCUGGGUGCCCUCGUUUGCAUCAGGGAUGCUGGCUGAACACCCGGUGCUGCUGUUCACACCGAACCAACCGCAGUGACGGAGCGGCAGCCUGCAAGGACCAGCCCACCCCAACCCACUGCCAGGAGCUGCAGCCGAGGGGAAGGGGAAUCCUCCUCCACUGGAGGGGACCCCACAUCCUCCAAAGACCGCAUGGCUCGGUCCUCAACAAGUCCAUGACCACCAGCCCCACUGCUCCAAGCCCAUCUUCUAGCAGCACAGCGACUGCUGCAGCUGUCAGGGCACAGCGCAGAGGGACGGACGUGUCCUUGUCACCACAGUGCAGAGAGAGAGGGGAAGUGGCUGCCCGGAAAAGGUCCUGACAUGCACUGGCAUGAGGCAACUUAUCUGCUGCUGCUUGCAGAGGCAGAUGGAGAAAGAACAAAGCUGCCCCGAGAUAAUGAGGCUGAGAUAAAGAAGGUCAGCCUCCUAACGAGCCAAGGACACUGAGUGAGAGGAGGCAGGGGGUGACAACCCUGAGGUGAGCAGAACAACAAAAGACAGCAGCUCUGUGCUCAGCCACAGGGCUCGAGCAACCCCAGAACUUACUGUGCCCUAACAGCUGUCACUUGCUGGACAGCUUCCAUCCAAAUUCUUCUCUGCUUCAUGGAUGCUUCUCUGCAAUGUCAGUGCAGUCACUGCAGCCAGUUGGUCCCUCCGCUCACUGAAGCAACAUGUAGCUCUGCAGCAAGGACAGUCAGCAGCCCAAGUCCCUGCCAGCUGGGGACAGCCUCUGGUGCUGUUA